AGCGAACGCUGGCGGCAGGCCUAACACAUGCAAGUCGAACGAACCUUUCGGGGUUAGUGGCGGACGGGUGAGUAACACGUGGGAACGUGCCUGUAGGUUCGGAAUAACUCAGGGAAACUGGUGCUAAUACCGAAUAUGCCCUUCGGGGGAAAGAUUUAUCGCCUUUAGAGCGGCCCGGGUUUGUUUAGCAAGUUGGUUGUGGUAAUGGCUCACCAAGGCUACGAAAUGUAGCUGGUCUGAGAGGAUGAUCAGCCACAUUGGGAGUGAGACACGGCCCAAAAUCCUACGGGAGGCAGCAGUGGCGAAUCUUGCGAUAUCGGGGAGAGCAUGACGCAGCCAUGCCGGGUGAAUGAUGUAGGUCUUAGGAUUGUAAAAUUCUUUAAUCGGGCACGAUACUGACGGUACCCAGAGAAGAAGCACCGGCUAACUUCGUG
rnacentral:rRNA from 1 species